AGAAAUCCAGAAGUAGCUAGUGAUAUGUAUCUUCGUCUUCUUAGAUCUGGAAUUAAUUUAAUUUGAGUUAAUUAUAGGAAAAUUAAAUUCUGUACAUGUUUUUCAUGUGAAAUGCAGUGAACUUCAGAGUUGUAUUCUAAGUGAAAUGUUAGUUGAGAAUAAUACUUUUUUCCUAUCAGAUGGUUAUUAUUUCAUCACCAUGUUAAAAAAAUCCUCUUUUUUCAGUGUUAGGUGAUAAUAUUAUCUAAUUUAGAUAGUUCAAUGGAAAGUACAUGUACAGUAGCUAGAUUAUGUUGAUUAGAUAUUGAAAUACUACUUUUCAGAAAAAAUAUGUAAAAUGGGAGAGAAAGCAAAAAUUCAAGAAUGUGAUCUUACUCUGGGUAAUGAUUUACUGUAUAUGCCAAUGAUUAUAAAUUAUGGUGCUUGAAUGUAUAUUGUUAGCAUCAUUAUCAUAAUUAUUUUUGUAUCCAUCAUUAAGAAAAUGAUGAUCCAAUAAUUCCCAAUAAAACCUUGAAAUACU
rnacentral:sRNA from 1 species